UGAUCCAAUGCGGACCUCUCAGAAACUAAAGACAAAGUAGAUACGGUUUAAAGUAGAACAAUAGUAUUAAGUUUGCUGGAUAUUAUUAUAGAAAUACUUGGUAUACUUAAACAAAACAGCGCACGCCUCUGAACAUUUUAUGAAUUAAAUCACCCAUGUUUUCAGAAAACUGCAUUCCCCUUACCGUUGCCCCGUCGUUUUUGAUGAGAUCUGAUUGUCAAACUGCAUGUCUAUAAUAAUUUUCCUAUGUUGUAUGUUGUUACUUAGAUUAGAACCAUUUUUAAUCGCUAUAUAAACGUGUGAACUGUUUGUAAUGCCGUUGCGAUAACCUUUUGGACGUUUCGUAUCCUUUUAGGACGUUGUUGUGCACCAUAAACAAUUUGUGUGCAGUAUUAGUCGCACGUAGAAGACCGAUUGAAUAUUUUUGGCUUGAAAAUGGUAAACUUUGAUAUCAAAGGUAAGGUGGCCCUUAUCACGGGUGGAGCUGCGGGCCUAGGAUUUCGAUUUGCAGUGGAAUUAUUAGAAGCUGGAGCUAGGGCUGUUACGUUAGCCGAUAUUGAUGCACACGUAGGAAAAAAAUCA